AUUGAACGCUGGCGGAAUGCUUUACACAUGCAAGUCGAACGGCAGCACGGGGGCAGCCCUGGUGGCGAGUGGCGAACGGGUGAGUAAUACAUCGGAACGUGCCCGGUCGUGGGGGAUAACGUAGCGAAAGUUACGCUAAUACCGCAUACGAUCUGAGGAUGAAAGCGGGGGACCUUCGGGCCUCGCGCGAUCGGAGCGGCCGAUGUCAGAUUAGGUAGUUGGUGGGGUAAAGGCCUACCAAGCCGACGAUCUGUAGCUGGUCUGAGAGGACGACCAGCCACACUGCGACUGAGACACGGCCCAGACUCCUACGGGAGGCAGCAGUGGGGAAUUUUGGACAAUGGGCGCAAGCCUGAUCCAGCCAUUCCGCGUGCAGGACGAAGGCCUUCGGGUUGUAAACUGCUUUUGUACGGAACGAAAAGGCUCUGGCUAAUACCUGGGGCUCAUGACGGUACCGUAAGAAUAAGCACCGGCUAACUACGUG
rnacentral:rRNA from 1 species